rnacentral:rRNA from 1 species
CAUGCCUAAUACAUGCAAGUCGAACGAAGCUAGUUAUAUGAAAGUGCUUGCACCGGAUUAUAACAGUGCUUAGUGGCGAACGGGUGAGUAACACGUAAGCAAUCUACCUUUAAGAAGGGAAUAAUUUCCGGAAACGGAUUGUAAUACCCUAUAGGAUAUUCAAGGGCAUCCAAGAAUAUUUAAAGGCGUUUAGGUAACUAAUCGUCACUUAUAGAUGACCUUGCGGUGCAUUAGUUAAUUGGUGGGGUAAUGGCCUACCAAGACGAUGAUGCAUAGCCGACCUGAGAGGGUGAUCGGCCACAUUGGGACUGAGACACGGCCCAAACUCCUACGGGAGGCAGCAGUAGGGAAUCUUCCGCAAUGGACGAAAGUCUGACGGAGCAACGCCGCGUGAGUGACGAAGGUUUUCGGAUCGUAAAACUCUGUUGUGAGGGAAGAACAAGUACCAAUUAACUACUGGUACCUUGACGGUACCUCACCAGAAAGCCACGGCUAACUACGUGCCAGCAGCCGCGGUAA